rnacentral:sRNA from 1 species
AAGAAAAUUAGUGGAUUUCAAGUAAUCAAGCAAUUAAAGGUGGUGAAUCCUCCGAUAAAGGUAAAGAAAUUGUACCCGAUGAUCGAUAGUCGGAGUACUCUAAAAAUUUAACUCUCGAAAUAGCUCAGAAUAGGUUGUAGAUAGCUGAUUUCAUCGAGGGCUA